rnacentral:SRP_RNA from 1 species
GGGGGGUGGACAAGAAGGCUCGCGCCGCGUGGAGCGCCGAGGCUGCGGCGCUCGGGUACGAGGCUGGCACCAUCAAGAACAGCGCCUACGUCCUCCUCGCGGCGUCGGGGGC